rnacentral:rRNA from 1 species
CACGUAGGGACCGAGCGUUGUCCGGAUUCAUUGGGCGUAAAGAGCCCGUAGGCGGCCGCUCAAGUCGAAUGUGAAAACUCGAGGCUCAACCUCGAGCCUGCAUUCGAUACUGGGUGGCUAGAGUCUGGUAGGGGGAUCUGGAAUUCCUGGUGUAGCGGUGAAAUGCGUAGAUAUCUGGAGGAACACCGGUGGCGAAGGCGGCAUCCUGGACCAACACUGACGCUGAGGAGCGAAAGCCAGGGGAGCAAACGGG